GCUCAGUUGGUGUAAUGGGCAACAUUGCGAUAUCUUCGGAUAAAUGCUACGGCAAAAUCGCAGACGUGGGUUCGAAUCCCGCACUGGGAC